rnacentral:rRNA from 1 species
UACGAAGGGGGGCUAGCGUUGUUCGGAAUUACUGGGCGUAAAGCGCGCGCAGGCGGUCUUCCAAGUCAGUGGUGAAGGCCUGGAGCUCAACUCCAGAACUGCCAUUGAAACUGUUAGACUUGAGUACGAGAGAGGUGAGUGGAAUCCCAGUGUAGAGGUGAAAUUCGUAGAUAUUGGGAAGAACACCGGUGGCGAAGGCGGCUCACUGGCUCGUAACUGACGCUCAGGCGCGACAGCGUGGGGAUCAAACAGG